GAGGGAUGACGGCCUUUACGGGUCUGUAAACCUCUUUCAGCAGGGACGAAGCGCAAGUGACGGUACCUGCAGAAGAAGCACCGGCCAACUACGUGCCAGCAGCCGCGGUAAGACGUAGGGUGCGAGCGUUGUCCGGAUUUAUUGGGCGUAAAGAGCUCGUAGGCGGCUUGUCGCGUCGACCGUGAAAACUUGGGGCUCAACCCCAAGCCUGCGGUCGAUACGGGCAGGCUAGAGUUCGGUAGGGGAGACUGGAAUUCCUGGUGUAGCGGUGAAAUGCGCAGAUAUCAGGAGGAACACCGGUGGCGAAGGCGGGUCUCUGGGCCGAUACUGACGCUGAGGAGCGAAAGCGUGGGGAGCGAACAGGAUUAGAUACCCUGGUAGUCCACGCUGUAAACGUUGGGCGCUAGGUGUGGGGGGCCUCUCCGGUUCUCUGUGCCGCAGCUAACGCAUUAAGCGCCCCGCCUGGGGAGUACGGCCGCAAGGCUAAAACUCAAAGGAAUUGACGGGGGCCCGCACAAGCGGCGGAGCAUGCGGAUUAAUUCGAUGCAACGCGAAGAACCUUACCUGGGUUUGACAUGGCCGCAAAACUUCCAGAGAUGGGAGGUCCUUC
rnacentral:rRNA from 1 species